GACGAACGCUGGCUGCGUGCUUAACACAUGCAAGUCGAACGCUGAAGCCCGAAGCUUGCUUCGGGUGGAUGAGUGGCGAACGGGUGAGUAACACGUGAGUAACCUGCCCCUGAUUUCGGGAUAAGCCUGGGAAACUGGGUCUAAUACCGGAUACGACCACCUGACGCAUGUCGGGUGGUGGAAAGUGUGUCGAUCGGGGGUGGGCUCGCGGCCUAUCAGCUUGUUGGUGGGGUAAUGGCCUACCAAGGCGAGGACGGGUAGCCGGCCUGAGGGGGGGGACGCGAAGCCGGGAAAUGAGACACGGCCCAGGAUCCUACGGGAGGCAGGAGUGGGGAAUAUUGCACAAUGGGGGAAACCCUGAUGCAGCGACGCAGAGUGCGGGAUGACGGCCUUCGGGUUGUAAACCGCUUUCAGCAGGGAAGAAGCGAAAGUGACGGUACCUGCAGAAGAAGUACCGGCUAACUACGUGCCAGCAGCCGCCGUAA
rnacentral:rRNA from 1 species